GUCCAGGUGCUCCUCCCUAAGCUCUGCUGGGAGCUUCUUGGAGGCAUUUCCUUUGCAAGUGGCACAGGAGCGAUCUGGCAGCUCAGCAAGGCUGGCAUGAGGAUCUGUGCCCGCUCCUAAAGGCUCUGUCGGUGCCCAGACCCUCGGGAUUCCCUGGAGAAGGCCGUGAGCAGGAUUAGCUCUGCACCAUGGGCAACGAGCUCAGCCACAGGAGGUACUGGUGCAGGAGGUUCAGGAGGUUUGAGAGGCUGCCCGCUGAGGACAGAACUGUGCCUGAUGUCCCCGAUGUCCCCACGGCCCAGCCAGCCCAGGGUGGGGAGUUUUGGGCCAGUGGGAGCUCCCCUGGGAUUGAGGAAGCCCAGGCUGCUGCUGCAGGGCUCCACGGCAAAGAGCACGGAAGGAAAAGAGACGUGGCCUCGUGUUCCCCACCCGUGGCCCAGGGGAUGGUGAGACGCUCAGAGCUGCAGCAGCUUGGGGAGGCUGGGGACAAGCCCCCUGCCAUAAAUCCAGCUGGAAGAACUCGGGGAAGGGCUGCAGGAGCUGAGCCAGCCGGAGGGCACACAGGGGUGACAACAAGGGGCUCUCCUCUGCAGCCUGGAGCGGUGCAGACCGAGCAGGGGCCAGCACAAAGCAGCUCGGGGCCACAGCACAGAGCCAGGGUGGGCAGGGCACGGCAGUGCGCUUUCUGCACGUGGCUGCAGAACCUCAAGAGCCCAGAAGAUAAACCUAAAGCCAAGCCUGGUGCAGUCAGCAGCCAGCAGUGAGGCUCCUGUGCGCUGGAGAAGGAUGGAGCGCCCGCUGUGACGCCUGCAACAAGGAAAAAAAAAAGGACUGGUAAAGAAAUUUUCUUGUAUACAGUGAGAGGACGUUGGUUUUGUCAUCUUUGAGCUGCUUGUCUGCUGGGUGUUCCAGCCUGCAUGGAGCACGGAAUUCCCUCUGGAAGGGCUGGAGCAGGGAAAUGAAGUGGCUCUGUUCCCUUGGCAAGCAGCUUGUGAGGAUUGUUUGGCUCUGCUCUCACUGGGGGCUGCUCUGUGGAACUCCUUUUUGAAACCCUGCAAAGGUGCAGCUUUGUAUCUCCCUGGUGCUUCCUAUAAUAUUUGAUUUCCUCUCCCCUGCUUGUAAUAACUUGCUCUGCCCAAUGGUCCAAGGGAAGUAUGAGUAGCAUCAGUAUUAUCAACCUGAAUUAAUGGAUUAGAGAGGCAGUAGAUGCUUGCAAAUGCACAGUGAUGGUGGUGGGUGCUGUGGGGGAGGCUUGGUGAACAAGGGGCUCCAGAUCUGCUGCUGGAAGUGUUUGCUCUGUGAGCUUUUGUACCUGUGAGUCAAUAAAAGCCACUUUCACUGCUUCCA